rnacentral:rRNA from 1 species
AUUGAACGCUGGCGGAAUGCUUUACACAUGCAAGUCGAACGGCAGCACGGACUUCGGUCUGGUGGCGAGUGGCGAACGGGUGAGUAAUACAUCGGAACGCGUCCUGUAAUGGGGGAUAACCUGGCGAAAGCCAGGCUAAUACCGCAUACGUCCUGAGGGAGAAAGCGGGGGAUCGCAAGACCUCGCGUUAUAGGUGCGGCCGAUGUCGGAUUAGCUAGUUGGUGGGGUAAUGGCCCACCAAGGCGACGAUCCUUAGCUGGUCUGAGAGGAUGAUCAGCCACACUGGGACUGAGACACGGCCCAGACUCCUACGGGAGGCAGCAGUGGGGAAUAUUGGACAAUGGGCGCAAGCCUGAUCCAGCCAUGCCGCGUGAGUGAUGAAGGCCUCGGUUGUAAGACUCUUUGUCGGGUACGGAGUGAUGACGGUACCG